rnacentral:lncRNA from 1 species
AACUUAUGAAGGAUGUGACAAAAUCUUUACCCUAAGGAAACUUCAAUGACAAUGCACUUUGCAUCAAGCAGAAAUCACGUAAUAUGUUCCAAAAAUAUGGGUACUGUUACGGUAAGUAACUUUUUAGCCGUGACCUCGGGGUCGACGCGGCUGGUUCGGGGCUCCGGAUGACGGGGAUCAGACGUGGUGCCCCUUUGGUCCCGGUGGUUGCUGAGGCAGGGGAUCUGACUUGGAAAGUUCCGCGGCGAUGAUUGCGUCCAGUCGCGGUCGAGCACCUGCACACAGGUCGGGUCGGUAGCUCGGCCCGACCCCUCCGAGGGUCUAGUCAGUGAUCGUGGAGAGGAGUUUCUAGAGAGAUCGUUUUUCCUCCUUUUUUCCCCCCCUUCUGGCCUGUUGGGGGCCAGGGGGUAUUUAUAAGGGGGUUUGAUGUUACCUGAUGCGCCAACCUGCCGGAGCCGGGUCGUAUCUCUGAUGGCGCUUGUCGAUGUCGUGGGCGUUGCGUGGAAGGCCGAGCUGCCGCGGGGUAUGGGGGGUGUCAGUCAGCGCCAUCCCCUGCCUUGGCUGGAUACGAGGGUCAGCCGAGGAGGUUGUUGGGGUACGAUCGGCGUGGGUGCAUGUCGUGUCGUUGUUAAUGCUCGUGCUGGGGCAGUGUGCCGCGACAGAGUGUCCGACGUGGAGAUGAUGUAUUAUGACAAAUCUGGGGUGUUAUGUCAAAUCAGUUUUUACCCCUAUCAGGUACUAAUUGGUAUUGUACUAAAUAUUCUCUCCUAGCUUCCAGCAGAUUAAUAUGCUGAGUAACAUCAGGGUGAAGAUUACCUCUGUAUCCAACUAGGGGAAAAGAAAGACCGGAAAGUGAUGGGUGGGCAGUCCAUCCUUUGAAACCAGGGUAGUUUUGUGAUUCGAUGCAAGGGCUUUGUGCGACGGUUCAG